GUAAAUGAUGUUGACAGUUGACUCUCCCAUUUGGAAGAAAAAUUUUAAAUUGACAUCCUAUUUCAUAUAUACAAAAGGUUUCAAGUGAAUUAGAAAACUAAACAUUAAAAAACCAUAAAAACGUGACAGAAUACCUUGGUUAAACAUGGAAAAUGAGUAACACAGUUAAGUAAUUUUUUUUAAAGUAGAGUCCAAAGGGCAAACAAAAGACAAUAGCAGAGAUGAGAUUUUAACAAAUGUUGGGUGCAUGACAAGCAAAUAGAAAAGCAGUGGCAAAUUUAGCAGAACAGAGGAGGUCACAAUCUGUAUGACCCACAGAGGUGAUGAGGCAAAACAGCACAAAUCUUCACCAAAAAAAGGAUCAGGGCUGAGAAUUUCAGGGCAGGUUAAAAGUCUAUACAGAGACUUACGUGCCUGCCUCCCUUCCCAAUUUCACAUAACCAAAGGACUACCAUCACCCUACACACACACACUCAUACCCAUACAUGCUCUUGUAAAACUGCCAUGACCAUCUCAGAAGAAUGAGAUCCUAGGUACCAGAGAUGCAAUGGUGAGAAAAACAGCUCCUCAGACUCAUGAAAAUUUUUUAUCUACAUGUGGAGACAAUUAUUAAUUAAAACCUAUACAAAUAAAGGUAAGGAUUCAGCCUGAGGAUAGAUGAGGCAGAGCAGAAAGUAGAAUCAAGAGGAAGGAAAUCAAAUUCUCAUUGAUACUCAAUCAAAUCAACACUGAGGUUCACCUUAUCUUCAGACUUUGUGUUCACAUGAGCCAAUGAGUUCUCUUAUCAUUUAAACUAAAGUGAAUUAGGUUUUUUGGUACAUUCCAAGGGGAUAUGGAAGGAAGUCAAGGAAGGCUCCUCUACAUAAAUGAUAAUUGUAGUGACAUCUGAAGGAUAAAGCAGGAAUCAUCAUGAGAUGAUUGGAAAGAAGGAAGUUCAGACAAAAAUGUCAAUUUUAACUUAGAUCAAGUAAAACAGGUUGGAAGAUGUGGGCAUUAUCAGGUCUUUAGUGAGUUUAACAAGAGCUUUUUGGUGAGGGCUGAGUGAUGGAAACC
ensembl:lncRNA